UUGCACAGGAAGGGGCGGAGGAGGGAAACAGCCAAGAAGAUGAGAGAGAAAGAAAGAAAAAGGAACAGAAAGAAGGACUAGGGAGAGAGAGGAGGGAAGUCCCAAGGGGGCCAGGCAACCCUGUCGACCAGCCUGCCCUGCUCCCUGGCUCACUGCCACACCCAUGCUGGCCUCAGGAGGGGCUAGGGGCCCGGCCUUCUCCCAAGCUGACCAGUAGGUAUGCCUGGCCUGGGGAGGGGGUCCUCUUGGAUGGCACAGGGGCUUCAGCUCACGCUAUCUCUUGGGCCUGAGAUCACCCCUUCUGUCCCCACUGUCAUCUAUGGCUAUAAUGAUCCCUCCCUCUUAGGGAAGCAUAUGAGGAUCGGGAUGGCACAGGGCCUGGUGCAGAGCAGGGACCCAGCAAGCUAUAGCUUGGUCAGCUUCUGCACCCUCACACCUACCCUGGGAGAUGGGAGGCAGGAUUAUGACCCCAUUUUAUGGGUUAGGAAUCCUCAGGGAUGGCAGGAAUAGUGCACAAUUGUGGGAGGGCAGAGUGAGCUCAGGACAAGAUGUCAGAGAACCAGGCAUUUACUCCACUAAGUGUGCCCCUGGGUGAGUCUCUAGCAUGUUCUAAGACUCAGUUUCCCCAUCUGCAAAUGCCACAGCUCACUUCCUCAGGAGCAGGAUGAGGAUCAAAAGAGAUGGAAAUGAUAUAAUCAGUAGGUGAAAAGUUUGAGGAAUACCAGGAUAUUUACCUGGUCUCAAGGUAUCUCCCCAGAAUGUACUUAUUAAUUACAAAGGGGGAAAAAUGUAACUUCACAGGAGAGAAACCCAUAUAGUAGAGGCACCUUCAAUCAAGUGAUCACCAGUAAUGGGACAAAUUGAGAUGAUGUGCUUCCUGAUGAGUGAACUGAGAAGAACAUCACCUCUGGGGUUUGAGGAACCAUCAGAUAAUCCCAAAUGCUUAUUUAUUUUGAGAGAGAAAGAGUGGCAGAGAGAGAGGGAGAGAGAGAAUCUCAAGUAUACUCCGAGCUGUCUGCAUAGAGCCCAACACGGGACUUGAUCUCAUGAACUGUGAGAUCAUGACCUGAGCCGAAAUCACGAGUCAGACACUUAACCAACCGAACCACCCGGGUGCCUCCGGCUGGACCUUUUAUAAGACAGCCGCUCCUCCAAACCAUCAAUGUCAUGCAAUACAAGAAAGACUGGGGGACUGCUCUAGAUUAAGAGACCAGACAGCACAACAAAUAAAUGCAGUGUCACUUGGGGCUUGGGGACAAUUCACAAAAUCUGAAUAAAUAGGACAUCAUAAUCUGAAUAAUUACACCGAUGUUAGUUCUGUGAUGCUGAUAAUUGUACUGCGGUCAUUAUGUAAGACAGUGUCCUUAUUUUUAGGAAAUACACACUGAAGUUUUGGGGGAUGAUGAGGCAUCAUGGCUACAACUUAUUCUCAAGUGAUUCAGAAAAAGGCCUCCUGCUCCAUGGUGGCUGCUUGUCACUGGGGCUUACUCUGGAUCAGGCACUGUCCCUGACACACACUUGCUGGCUGAUGAGUCCCAAAUAUUCCAGCCCAGACCUCGGUGGUGAACCUCCGGGACCUCCACCUUCCGGACCUCCACAUCCAGCUGCCUGCUCAACAUCUCCACUUCCCACACCGAGCCCUGCUGUGACCCCCCAAACCUGCUCCCCCUACAGCCUCCCCUUCUGAGAACGUGGCCACUCCGUUCUUCCAGUUAGCCUGGUCAAAAAUCUUGCAGUUGCUUGAUGCCA